rnacentral:rRNA from 1 species
CCUACGGGAGGCAGCAGUGGGGAAUAUUGCACAAUGGGCGCAAGCCUGAUGCAGCGACGCCGCGUGGGGGAUGACGGCCUUCGGGUUGUAAACUCCUUUCGCUAGGGACGAAGCUUUUUGUGACGGUACCUAGAUAAGAAGCACCGGCUAACUACGUGCCAGCAGCCGCGGUAAUACGUAGGGUGCGAGCGUUGUCCGGAAUUACUGGGCGUAAAGAGCUCGUAGGUGGUUUGUCGCGUCGUCUGUGAAAUUCCGGGGCUUAACUCCGGGCGUGCAGGCGAUACGGGCAUAACUUGAGUACUGUAGGGGUAACUGGAAUUCCUGGUGUAGCGGUGAAAUGCGCAGAUAUCAGGAGGAACACCGAUGGCGAAGGCAGGUCUCUGGGCAGUAACUGACGCUGAGGAGCGAAAGCAUGGGUAGCGAACAGGAUUAGAUACCCUGGUAGUCCAUGCCGUAAACGGUGGGCGCUAGGUGUGGGUUUCCUUCCACGGGAUCCGUGCCGUAGCUAACGCAUUAAGCGCCCCGCCUGGGGAGUACGGCCGCAAGGCUAAAACUCAAAGGAAUUGACGGGGGCCCGCACAAGCGGCGGAGCAUGUGGAUUAAUUCGAUGCAACGCGAAGAACCUUACCUGGGCUUGACAUACACCGGAUCGGGCUAGAGAUAGUCUUUCCCUUUGUGGCUGGUGUACAGGUGGUGCAUGGUUGUCGUCAGCUCGUGUCGUGAGAUGUUGGGUUAAGUCCC